UGGGGCUGUUGUGAAGAUUCAAUGAGAUGAUGAUACAUGAAGAGUCUGAUAAGUUAUGUGGGAUGUAACAUAAGCAGCAUAAAAUAAACUGUUAAUAUGGUUCAUUCAUGGUGUGUAUUAAUAAAAUUUAUUAAUAUUAGUAUUAAUACUAAUUUUAGUAUUUUAUUAGUAUUAAUAAAAAUUUUCCUUUUGACAUUUCAUACAUCUCCUUUGUUUUUACUGUUUAAUGGUGCUAUAAAAGGUCAAAACUUAUACUUCCUUCUUUUGCACUUUAUAGUGCUGAGUGGAAGGAAUAUAAAUUGCACAAAAGUGGUGACCCUGCUGGCAUGCUUACUGUUAUAUCUGGAAGGCCUAGCACAUAGUUGAAGCUCAAUGAAUAUGUGAUAAAUGAGCAAAUAAUAGAAGAUGCUCUAGAUUCCAGGGUAGAAAGAACAAAGGACAUGCAGCCCUCCAUCGUAACAAUGGCUGAAGGUCUGGCUCAAUGCCCAUACCAGAGAUGUGACCCUUCAUCUCUCCCAGCUUCCUUUUCCCCAUCUGAAUAAUGAAGGUUGAAUUAUGAUUCCUAAGUCUCUUUCAGUCCUGCCAUUUCACUCAUUCAUACAUUCAGUGUUUACUAAUGCACCUUCUAUAUGCCAGGCACUGUGCCACGUGUGGGGUAUACACUGGAAACUAAAAUAAAUUUUAUGAUCUGAAAAGAGUAAAAGGCACUAAAUAAGUAAAUGAACCUAUCAUCACAGAUUACGAUAUGUGCUAUGGAAGAAGAGGAGAGGGUUCUGAGUGUGUGGAUAAUUCAGUUAAAAGUUGUAUGGUUAGAGAAGGCCACCAUGAGGAGGUGAUUUUGGCUGAAAUCUACAGGAAAGUUGGAUAGAAAGUGAUUCAGACAGAGCCAACAGGCAACCUGAGUCCACUGGUAGCCUAGUAUCUCCUAUCUCAGCUUGAGCCCUCUGGGGCUCUUCCUCAUCCUCAGGAGGUUCUGGUGUCUUGCAGGAUCUGGAUCACUGGAGGGCAUUUGACUGACCUUGAAUGUCCAGGACAGAAGGGAGAAACCCUUAUACUAUGUCCCCAGACCCCUGGGGCCGUGGGCUCAGAGGCUACGACACCUGCAGGUGCUUGCUCUGGGCACAGUCAGGUUUCCCCACAGGAAGCCGCUUCUCUCUUGGGUUACUACUCCCCCCGCUUUGUAAGCUGAAGGGCUCCCGGGCUCUGCCAAGAGCUACAUGGUCUGUUCCAAGUCUGCAGCUAUUAGUCCUCCUUGCUCAGGCAGAUUCCAUUACAGCUCCAAAUUGUUUUCCAAAUAUACUAGAAAGGUCAUUUCCUGUUUUUUUUUUCUUUUAAAAAAUUCAAUAUUUGCAGAAACCACACAAAAAGCAAGCAGAUAUUUUGCAGAAGACACAAAGCACAGAAAUGGGACUUGGUCUCAUGGGAGAGGCUUCCUUAAGGGUGGGCAAAUGUUCUCUGAGGCUUCUCUGAGGGAAGAAAGAAAGGGCUGUGGAAACAUGAUGAAAAUACCAAGGCCUAUUGAACUGGCAUUCCUCACAUUCAAAGAGCAGCGGCUUCUCUCUGUGAUGAGAAGCCAGAACCAGAGAGGCACUAAGACAAACAGAAAAGUCAGGGCCCCAGAUUGAGAACAUUCCAAAAACCUGGGAAAGGGCAGGGCUGCUGGUUCUAGCCACGUGUGGCCUGCUGGGGGCUGGCACCAAAGCUCUAUCCAGUGCCUUAGGGGCACCUCCAGCCCAGGAUUACCAGAGUGGAGCCUGUCUCCUGCCAGGACAGUACCUGCUGCCCAUUCACAAAGAGCGGCCCUUGGGGAGGCUUUAUUUGGAAACAGACAGGCCAGGCCUUGGCCUCUGCUUCUGCUUCUGGAAGGCCCAGACUCGUGCAGGCCUGGGUGCAGGCAGGGGUGAGGAGGGAAAGGGCAAAGUGCUAGAGCCAGACAAGGUCCUCGGUGACUUUUGUUAGGUAGAUAGCAAGGGAUCCCGUGUCUCCUAGGGAUAAAAGUGGGUGCUGUUGCCUUGGUGCAACUGCCCCACCUGGGAAGAAGGACAAGGUGGGCCCCAGGUCCCCAUCUUGGUCCUGCCCCGCCCUAAUCCUGCCCUGAGCUGCCGCCAUACCUGGGAGAGGAGGGAAUAUUCUACAAAUCUGCCAAUUGGAACUUAGCACCCAGCUGCAAAAGCAUGCAGAGAACCCUCUAGCCCACGGGCCAAGCAGCAUAGGUACCAUAGUGUCUGGAAAUUGACCUAGAACAACCCACAUGUGUAGUACGACAGGCCAUACAACUCUCAAUUGUCCAAAGUGGUUCCAUGGUGGCCUCUAAACCAUGAGGGAGGUCCCAAUCUGGGCACUAUAAAAUAAGACACAGACCAUAACCAGACCCUUUUUGCCCUUCCUCUUGCUCUCUUUUUCUGCUGCAACAAGGAGACAUCUGUGCUGUAUGUACCUGGCUUUGUAAACCCAUGUCUUGCUCUUGCUCUAUGAUCCUAUCUUGCUCCCUGCUCAAUAAAUUUCACCUCAGGCUUGUCUGGUCAUUUUUUGGCCAUGAACACACCAAGAACAGAGAACACAAAAUGAGACUAAGCCUGAUGCUUCCACAUGGCCUGUUCCCAUGGACACCUCGCUUUAUGUUUCCUUUUCCCGCUUAUUAUCUUCUCCGAGCACACUCUUUGUGGGCCUUCCAGACACCACACACCCUCAGGGCCUGCUCCAGCCUCUCUGCCACUCCACACAGGCAGCUCCUCCUGACAGCACCUUUGAGCCAGAGCCUCCCCAGGAGGCCGAUCUGCUUUUCAUUUCCUCCCUGGGGGUUCUUACCCUUUCCCUUAAAUAGUGUAUGGUGAUGACUGCCAAGAGCCUAGAUGUGUGACUCUGACUGCCUGGGCAUCGUGUCAUCUGACUACCUCAGCAGCAUUUCAAAUUGCACACAGCAAGUCUCCAGCCUGCUCCCCUCCAACCUUCCCCAGCUCAGCGAAGGCACCACAUGCCCAGGCUGCCCAUCCCUAAGCCUCCUCCUCCUUCACCACCCACAUACGAUUUGUCACCAUGUCCUAUUCUUUCUACUUGCAAAACAGAGCUUGAAUCUGCUCACCUCUCUCCUCCGUGUGCACCACGCAGGCUCCAUGAUGCCUCACCUGGACCCCCGGCAGAGUCCCUCACCACAAUCCUGCUUCCCUCCCCUGCCACAGCCCAAGGUCUAUUUUCUACACAGCAGCCAGGGUGAUGUUCUCAAAACAGAAAUUAGGUCAUGUCAUUCCCCUGCUUCAUCCAGCCUUUGAUGCCUUCCCAUUCCAGAUCUAGCAAAAUCCAUAUUCCUUCUGCCAGCCCCUGAAGCCCUGCAGUGAUCUGGCCCUGCCUUCCUCUGCAAACUUCCGUCUUAUUUCCACUCUCUUCCUGGCCCAUUUUGCUCUGGCCACACUGGCCUCUCUAAUUCCUCAAACCUCACUUAAUCCCUGACCCCGGAACCUUUACUAGACUGUUCCCUCUUCCUGUAAUGUUCCGUUACCCUGCUCUCUAUAGAGCUGUGUAAGUGGUAGGUGGUCCUGGCCCUGGCUUUGCAAAGGUUCCUCCUCUAGGAUUUGACAUGGGGCCCCUACAGGGCAUGAAGCCUCCUGAGUUCCUCUGUCCCCCAUUCCUGCAUGUCAGGAAGGCACUGGCAGAGCUGCCUGGAGGCUAAUGUGGCGUGGUGGACACAGCAAGGGCUUUGGAGUCUCAACUCCUGCCCCUACAGCUGCACCACAUGGUGCUGGGCAACCCACCUGACCAUUUCUUCUAUAAAAUGGGGGGCUAACAACUGCCUGAAAUGGUGAUUGUGGGAUUAAUCAAAGCCAGCAUUUAUGGAGUCCUUACUACAUGCCAGACUGUGCUAGCAUCUUAUAGGCAUUAUCUCAUUCAAUUUUAUAGCAACUCUAUGAAAUAGAGAGUAUCAUCAUCCCAUCGUACAAAAGAGGCAACUGAGGCUCAGAGAGGUUAAGGAGCUUGUCCAAGGCCAUAUACCCAGAGGGUGUGGAGCAGGAUGGGGCUGUGCUAUUAGGUAAAGCAUGGAAAUGAAUUAGCAUCCUUCCUGGCAUAUAGUAAGGGUUUAUUAAAAAGUGUCCACUCCUUCUUCUGCCCUUCUUUCUCCCCUGUCCGUACCUCAUAAUGAGGCAUUUCUGAAGGAAGGGCAAGAAAGCAAGGAAGUCCCAAGAAAGCAUUCUACAGUGCUGGCUAAAACAUGUACAUAGAUGCAUUUUAUCCAUGCUUAAGCAACCUUUUCUUAUGGAUGUUCAGCUGGAGGUAAAAAUCUUCAGAAUCUUUUCUGCAAUGUUGGGUUGAUUCUCUGAGUUCUACCCCAGAUUCUAUUUUUUGGUAUCUAACUUCACAGCAAUAGUAAAAAUAAUUAUUUUGGGCUACACAUUUUAAAACUCUCUCCCCCUCAGCAGCUGUAUCCUACCCUGCAGCAGGGCAGUGUUAUUACUUCACAUAGGGCUGGGGCUGGUGAUUGGAAUUGUGACAUGGACUCUCUUCAACCCAUGAAAGCUGGGGCUUCUUUGGAGGUCUUCAGGAAGAAGAAAGGUCCAGAUGGAUUACUGCUUGGUGGCCAGGCAUGCUGGGGCUCCCCUCCUGCUGUUCAUGCAUUAUCUACUCUGGGUGAGGGAUCAGCUACAAAGCAAGGUUCCCAGAGAGUGGCAGGCUCCAUCCUACUGUGCAGGGAGGGGCAGGAAGGGAAAGUGAGAUCACUUCCAAGCAGGCCUGCCAAAGUCCAGGGGCUAGGCUGUGCUCCACCUCUGCUGAUGCCACACUGGGGGCCUCUGGGCAAGGUUCUUCUCCCUCAAACCUCAGCAGUCUCAAGUGCAGACUGAAGGGGUGAAGUGGAUCUCUCUGUGGUGAUUUUGAAACAUGUCUGCAAAUUCUUUGACAUUCCUCCUAUCAGGAGAGGAGUCUAAUUUCAACCCCAUUGAAUUAGCUGGCCUUAGUGACAAACCGCUAACAAAUAGAACACACCAGAAAUGAUGUUGUGUGACUUCCAAGAUGAGGGCAGAGAGGGUUAUACAGUUUUCACCUGGUUCUCUCUUGAGACACUUGCCUUUGGAGCUUUGAGCUGCAUGUAGGAAAUCUGAGGUAGCCAUGAUGUAAGGAAGCCCAAACAGGGCCCAUGAAGUGAUCACAUGGAGAGGUCCUGAGACAGCAUACAGAGAGAAGCAGCCAGCCAGCCUCUAGCUGUGCUGGCCCUUAGCUGCUCCAGCUCCAGUCACUAUCUAACUGCAACUACAUAAGAGAUCCAAGCCAGAAUUUCCCAGGCAAUCUGUUCCCAAAUUCAUAACCCACAGCAACCACAAGAGACAAUAAAUUAUUGCUGUUGUUUUAAACCACUAAGUAUCGGGGGUGAUAUAUUAUGCAGAAGUGGGUAACCAACGCAAUCUCUAAUGUCACUCCCAGCUUUGGGUUUCCUCUCCAGUUUCUCUAGGAUUCUAUAAAAAGCAUCACCAACAUACACUGUGGAGAAUGAAAAGUAGCAAGAUGUUAUCUCUGUAACAUUCAUUCACUCAUUUAACAAAUUUUAUUGAUCUGCUUUUUUUUUGCUGCCAGACUGCAGCCAUCAUGGGUCACAUGCAUGCUCCCAGGAAGGGCCUGUCCCAGUCAGCUUUGCCCUAUUGCCACAGCGUCCCCACUUGGCUGAAGUGGCGUCUGACAACGUAAGGAGCAGAUUUAUAAACUGGCCAAGAAGGGCCUUACUCCCUCACAGAUCGGUGUGAUCCUGAGGGACUCACAUGGCGUUGCACAAGUACGUUUUGUGACAGGAAAUAAAAUCUUGAGAAUCCUGAAGUCUAAAGGACUUGCUCCUGAUCUUCCUGAAGAUCUCUAUUAUUUAAUUAAGAAAGCGGUUGCUGUUCAAAAGUAUCUUGAGAGGAAUAGAAAGGAUAAGGAUGCUAAAUUCCGUCUGAUUCUGACAGAGAGCCAAAUUCAUCGAUUGGCUCGAUAUUACAAGACCAAGCGAGUUCUUCCUCCCAACUGGAAGUAUGAGUCAUCCACAGCCUCUGCCCUGGUUGCAUAAAUUUGUCUCUGAACUCAAUCAGUAAAAUCAUUGUUUAACUAAAAAAAAAAAAA